rnacentral:rRNA from 1 species
GAUGAACGCUGGCGGCAUGCCUAACACAUGCAAGUCGAUCGGUAAGGCUCUUCGGAGUACACGAGAGGCGGACGGCUGAGUAACGCGUAGGAACACACCCUGCAGUGAGGGAUAAGACACCGAAAGGUGUUCUAAUACCGCAUACGGUCUUCGGAUUAAAGCAUUUAUGCGCUGAAGGAGUGGCCUGCGUCAUAUUAGAUAGUUGGUGAGGUAAUGGCUCACCAAGUCGAUGAUGUGUAGCUGGUCUGAGAGGAUGAUCAGCCAGACUGGAACUGAGACACGGUCCAGACUCCUACGGGAGGCAGCAGUGAGGAAUAUCUCACAAUGAGCGAAAGCUUGAUGGAGCAAUGCCGCGUGCAGGAUGAAGGCCCUCGGGUUGUAAACUGCUUUUAUAAGAGAAGAUUAUGACGGUAACUUAUGAAUAAGGGACGGCUAACUACGUG